CUUCCUCUCACAACCCACCUAUCUUGGAUGCGGCGCCGUAGAGUACGUCAAGUUCGAGGACAUGCCCAUGCUGCCAGAAACCACAGAGGACCCGGAAAGAGGAGUUUUGACAACUUACACCAUGUUUGAAUGCCUUUCCUUGCUAGCAGCAAUGGCAGAGGACCCCUACAUUGGCGAAGUUAUGUGUUGGCUUUCUGAAGACCGUUUACUUUGCUAGCAGAAACAGUUUUUGUUUUCUAGGCAUUUUGCAAUUCAC